CUUUACAUAACAUAAAUUCAAAGUCCUUGUUCUUGUAUUUGUUAGAUAUAAUACAAUAUGAAUGAUGAAUGACUCAUUGUACCAAAAAAAAUUCAGGGAGCAUCUGACUUAAAUAAAUAUGUCUUGACUGCUGCAUUAGUGCCCCUUUGCUUUUUGUCAAGCUUUAAAGUAUGUCAGUUCUAACUUCAAAGGAUUUAAUGUAAAUGAGCAUGGGUUUAGUCUGGCAAAAUUUGUGUUGGCAAAUGUAGCAAUCUUGGAGUGGAUGGACUAUAUCUACAGCCUUUUGUCUGCGAUAUAUAGAUAUUGACAUGGAGAAAGUUGAGGAGCAAAUACUCUCAUUACUAAAAUGUUCCAGCUUUUUCAUAGAAUUUUCUAAUGUCAACGGUUCCUGAAGACUUCAUAACAUCCAAAGGUUACCUGCACCACACCUGUCAAAUGGAGUAGACCAAACAUUGGGAGUUUUCAGCAUAGACUCCAGAGUGAAGAUGCCUUUCUUUGGAGGCGGAAAUCCUUCUUAAAGGGACGUGGGAUUUCAUUUUGUUGCCUUUCCAUGAGCUUGAGCUAAAGUGGACCGCGGUUGAGCUUCAAACCUGGUAGAACACUUCCCCUGAAGUCCUAAGCAUUUUACUUAGUGAACUUGUGUGGCCGAAUUAGGGUGAUCAAACCCGGUAUGUACAAAUAUCAUCAAAAUUUUAUUUAUGGAAUAAAUUAUCAAAUUAUCACGAGAAUGAGAAGUAAAUUCUUUUAGCUGACUAAUACCCUUAUGAGUUUUUCUGUCAUCCAUAGUCAUACAUGUGAAAGGUUCCUACUAUAAUUGAAGUUCCUAUUAUAAUUGAAGUACUUAAGAAGUAAAUUACUAU